GACGAACGCUGGCGGCGUGCCUAAUACAUGCAAGUAGAACGCACAGUUUAUACCGUAGCUUGCUACACCAUAGACUGUGAGUUGCGAACGGGUGAGUAACGCGUAGGUAACCUGCCUGGUAGCGGGGGAUAACUAUUGGAAACGAUAGCUAAUACCGCAUAAUAUUAAUUAUUGCAUGAUAAUUAAUUGAAAGGUGCAAUUGCACCACUACCAGAUGGACCUGCGUUGUAUUAGCUAGUAGGUGAGGUAACGGCUCACCUAGGCGACGAUACAUAGCCGACCUGAGAGGGUGAUCGGCCACACUGGGACUGAGACACGGCCCAGACUCCUACGGGAGGCAGCAGUAGGGAAUCUUCGGCAAUGGACGAAAGUCUGACCGAGCAACGCCGCGUGAGUGAAGAAGGUUUUCGGAUCGUAAAGCUAUGUUGUAAGAGAAGAACGGGUGUGAGAGUGGAAAGUUCACACUGUGACGGUAUCUUACCAGAAAGGGACGGCUAACUACGUG
rnacentral:rRNA from 1 species